UUUUGACCCAGCAGUGAAUGCUAUUGAGAGGCACUAUAAAUCUGUAAUACAUUUGUGGGGGAGCGUGCAGUUUGGAGGAUGGAUGAGAUCUUUAAAUAGUCAUGAGUCCAUUGUUCAGAUAUCUGUCAGCUAGCGGUUAACGGCGACCCUGGUGUGUCAGUCCUGCGAGGUCUCUGUGAACAGGAUGUUGAGCUGCCUCCUCCUGUCUCCUUCCAGGUGCGUUUCCAUGACGAGGUGGAGGAGUUCUACACUUGCGAAGACAACGAGGACCGCCGUGGGCCAUGGGAGGAGCUAGCCAGAGACCGCUGCCGUUUCCUCCGGCGUGUUCAUGAGGUGGAGGAGAGCAUCAGUUAUGUCUUCAGCCCCACCUUCCGCAUCACUGUAUACCAGAGACUACAGCAUCACAGCUGAAAUGUUCAGCUCCGGGCUACACCACCCCUCCAAACCCCUUGACACCACCACCGUCUUCGUCUGGCUAGGGUGUCGGCUAAAUGAGAUGAAACGCCUUGUGACCGCUGAUUGCCGUUAUCCUUUGAUCGACUCCGUGGUGUGCUGGGCUAGCUGAUUAAUGAUCUGAUUCAGGGCGGUAUGCUGGGAGGGGUGCGAAAGGAAUGUGUACUGGUAACAUUAGGGUCUAGAACGGCCUACUGGUUCCUCUGGGAGAACCCUAUGUCAGAACACAGCAGGUAUUCAGUAACAUGAUGCGAAAACAGAACUCUACACCAGACUCUUCAGCUAAGACUGUUUCCUUGAUAUUUACUUUUAAAAGUGGUUUUAUUUUUUUUUAUUUUUUCUCGUACGGUUGGUUUAAAUGGCCCCUUUUGGCGUCGCUCCGUCCUCUCUGGCUCAGGCUGCCUGGGUCUGCGGUCUGUAGUGUUCUCAGCUUCAGGUUACAGGCCAACCUGAUCGCAGCCGUGCCGCAUCUUUCCCCGCAGCACGUUUGGCUUCAGGGGCGUUUGGACCGUCACCAUGGUGUUGAAGAUGGACCGGUUUGUCAAGGCUUCCUUUAAAUCCUGACAGACAGACAGCCUAUAAUGCUUGCAAGUGUUCUUAUGUGAUGUGAUCAUAAGCAGGGUUCUUACAGUAUGGUAACUAAGUGUGUAAAACAUGGAGUGUUGAAACCAUGCCUUCAUUGUUUGUCCGGGUGUCUUCCUGGUGUCAUUCAUUAGCCAUGGACUUGUGUUCUAUUCCACGUGUAUUAAAACUAUAACGCCAAAGACACACACACACACACACACACGCGUCACUUCUGCCCCGAACCAGCUCCUGUUCCAGCUUUGUACUUGUUCAGUGACUCAGGUAACAGGUGUCACUUCCUUAUUGCAGUCCACAGUUGGAAGUGAAUAACCAUCAUGUACAAUAGCGUUGUUCUGGCGGUGGAUGGCCUCGACGGAAAUGUACAAGGCAACAUAAAGGAGGGGUGGUGCCUUUUUCCUUGCCGCUCCGUCUACGCUGGACAACCAGGUAUUUCUAGGUUGUGCACAGUGGUUAUUUCUGAGCUGCAGUGAAGUCUUAUGAUGAAGGUGUAAGUGUUAUCCUCAACCUUGUUUUUGGUCCAGAGGUCUUCAAACCUCUGCUCGGGCCUCCAGAUGUUUCACAAUGUUCUGGUAUCCCUGAACAGGCACUUCGGUCUCACUAAUCAAGGGCUUGAUGAUUAACUGACUAGUCUAAUCGGGUUAUCUCUUGAAUAGAUCAAAUACCGUGGAUGGCUGGGGGUCCCCGAGGAGAGGGUUGAAUACCUGCUUUUUUUUUGCCUCUUCUCAUCUGCUGCCCUCACUGGCCACUGUUUCCUAGAAUAAAACAACGUCGCUGUAAUCCAUUGACCGUUUGCCCCUCGGUUGUUUUCUUUGAAUUGACGCCUGCACCUUUCUAAAGCUUGCUUCUAAUAGUGAUGAUCUUGGAAUCGAAGCGGUCCAUCUCCGGGCACCUGUCCCCACUGUUAAAGCAUGGCCUACCUGUACCCCAGGUCAACAUGUUGAGUACGCUCCUCUGGAUAAAGGGAUGACUUCUACGGUGAGCAUGGGGAGAGGACGAUGAGACGUGAAAUGCACAUUCUGAAGAGAUUUUCAGAAUGAAAAAAAUGACCAUUAAAGAUGUACUCCGAUCUGAAGAAUAUAACAAAUUUUACUUGGUGUUAUUUAGUCAGUAUAAUUAACAUGAAAUUGUUUUAUUUUUGUAAACAUUUUAGGAUGAGUUCUGCAUAACUGUUCCUUAUACAUUUAGAAGUUAAUAUUCAGU
ensembl:lncRNA